GCAGUGAGCUGGGCGAUCGCUGCCGUUUGUGGCCGUCUCGCCGUAGCCCGUAAGGGCGAAGGCGGAUGAAGUGCAGGCGGGAGAGGAAAGUCCGAACUCCACAGGGCAGUGCGCCGGGUAACACCCGGGCGGGGCGACCCGACGGACAGUGGCACAGAAAAUAUACCGCCCUGAGCGAGGCGUCGGGCGCCGCAAGGCGCACGACGCCGAGUCGAAGGGUAAGGGUGAAAUGGUGGGGUAAGAGCCCACCGCGCUCCUGGUAACAGGAGUGGCAGGCCAAACCCCGCACGGAGCAAGACCAAAUAGGGAAGCGAUUGGCACCCCGGCGCCGCUGCGGCGCCGGGGGCCCGCCAAAAGGGCGGCCCGCCCUAGCUUCCGGGUAGGUUGCUCGACCCCGCCAGUAAUGUCGGGGCUAGAGGAAUGAUCGCUGGAGUUGCCAUCCGCAAGGGUGGCGGCGAACAGAAUUCGGCUUACAGGCUCACUGCGGCA
rnacentral:RNase_P_RNA from 1 species